rnacentral:rRNA from 1 species
CGGGGUGGAGUAAUGUCUGGGAAACGGCCUGAUGGCGGGGGAUAACUACUGGAAACGGUAGCUAAUACCGCAUAAUGUCUGCGGACCAAAGCGGGGGACCUUCGGGCCUCUUGCCAUCGGAUGUGCCCAGAUGGGAUUAGCUAGUAGGUGGGGUAACGGCUCACCUAGGCGACGAUCCCUAGCUGGUCUGAGAGGAUGACCAGCCACACUGGAACUGAGACACGGUCCAG